AUGGGAACGCGAAGAACCUUACCUACUCUUGACAUCCAGAAAACUUAGCAGAGAUGCUUUGGUGCCUUCGGGAACUCUGAGACAGGUGCUGCAUGGCUGUCGUCAGCUCGUGUUGUGAAAUGUUGGGUUAAAGUCCCGCAACGAGCGCAACCCUUAUCCUUUGUUGCCAGCGGUCCGGCCGGGAACUCAAAGGAGACUGCCAGUGGUAAACUAGGAGGAAGGUGGGGAUGGACGUCAAGUCAUCAUGGCCCUUACGACGUAGGGCUACACACGUGCUACAAUGGCGCAUACAAAGAGAAGCGACCUCGCGAGAGCAAGCGGACCUCAUAAAGUGCGUCGUAGUCCGGAUUGGAGUCUGCAACUCGACUCCAUGAAGUCGGAAUCGCUAGUAAUCGUAGAUCAGAAUGCUACGGUGAAUACGUUCCCGGGUCUUGUACACACCG
rnacentral:rRNA from 1 species